UUUAGCAUUUAAAGCCCUCAUACACUGACCCCCCUUGUUACUCUUCCAGCUUUGUCCCCUGCUAUUCCCUAGUGACAUGCAUGAGUUGACAUGUGGCUCUCUGCAUUUGUCUGCGACACUCUUCUUAGGAGCAGCGAGUGAUGCAGUUAGGCCCCAGCUGUUUGGAUCAAAGAGGAAGGGCCUGGGGCAGAAGGAAACCUCAGACAUGUAUACUUCUGCUGGAGAUGGAGGGGGCGGGGAAUAACACUAUCGCAGUUAAUUUUUCAAAAACAGUAUCUUCCACCCAGUCAAAUAAAGAGGUGUAUGCUACCGAAGAACUGUUUGAAUUGUCUUAUGUUUAAAGACUGGAGAAAAAAGGCUUCAAACGAAAAACAGAUUUGGAUAAGAUCUUAUUCUCUGAGGGGCUGCUAUGGUAAGACCUCAAGGUGUUUUUAUAGGUCCCUCUCAUGAGACCAGGAAGAAGAUUAGAGUUUUUUCCUCUCGCAAGACUCAAAGCUUCAGAGAGAAUGGAGGCCAGUUGAACCUUAAUAAACACUCUUCAGAGAAAAAAAGGGAGAAGGAGUUGAAGGCCAGUUGAUGAAUCAUAACUAAUUAAGUUGUUUUGUCUUCCCUGACUCUCUGGCUUUAUUAAAUAAACAUAGAUGAUCUUAAUAAAAUAAGUUUUGGCUAACUUUAUGGUGUCCUGUUACCAGCGCUAGAGCCAGGAGACCUGGCUUCUAAUUUCAAGUAUAUCUCUAACUAGCUGUGUGAUCUUGGGCAGUCCUGACCCCUCUCUGAGGUUUGGCUCCACUAUGGACAUAACCAGAAGACUGAACUCAUUGGCACAACUCCCUAUAUACUCAAGUCUACAUGUCUUCAAUUUUAGGGAGCCACUGGUCAUGGCGGUGAAUUGGAUACCUACACCAGAGAAAGCCUGAGAGGCGUAAUCAAAUAAGGGAACCACUUGAACUGAACUCCCAGCAGGAGCAGGAGGGAGGCCUGGAGAGGUUACAGGUCAACUGCUCUGCUGGUGUGAACUGGGACAACUAUUGAGAGCCCACAUCUGCUGUGUCACCUUGAGACAAGGAACCUGUUCACACUGGAUGAGCCCAUGUCUAUGCAUGUCCUCUUUCAGAUGGCCCUGAAGGUGACACGGGCAGUGAGACUUUGAAGAUCACAUCAAAGCCAUCAAAGCACAAAAUGUUGGUGCCGGAUGGCCCUUUCAAGUUCACGGUCCACUCCAUCCCAAAGACAGAUGGGAAAACUGAAGCCCAUGCUAAGAGAAGUUCCUUCCCCAAGGCCACAGGCAGAAAUGUUUGCCCUCCUAGUACAACCAUUAUUCUGCUGUAUCAGUCUGCCAUUUAUGACAAAGUCCUCGUUAUAUGACAGAGAACUAUUUAUAAUGCUAGUAUUGAGGGAUAUGAUUAGCACAUUUGCUGUGGGUUGAUAUGUCAGAUUUGGCCUGUGAGCAGCUGUUACAUUUAGAGAAACACCUUUGAAUCCAGAAGUCAUCCAAACUCUGUGAUAAAAACAGUAGACCAUGUCACGCUAGGAUCCUACGUGAUUAUGGCUGAUUUGUCCUCCAAGUUGUUUAUUUAUCUCAUUGUUGGGCUUUUGGUUUAUUUCCUUGUCACUUUUUCUAUACAUUGGUUUGACAGCUGUGUAAUCAUAGAAUAUUGUAUCAUCUACUUUAUAUUUUGUUUUUUUUGGGUUUUUUUGAGUAAAACCUUCUUACUUUGG